UUGAUAGUUACUCUAGAGUGGAGGGUUCAUUGCAGGUUUGAGCAUAAACUUAGGAGUUAGGAAGAUGCAGUAUAACCAUGGCAGAAUUAUGGGGGCUGUAUCUGGGAGUGAAAUUGGCAGUUGAUUUGAAGAUUCCUAACCUGGUAAUGGAGUCCGAUUACAAAUGGAACUGGGAGUUUCCUUCUUCGAAGUUCCUCCUUGAUUCACGCCUUGCGUGCUGAUUCUCAGGGUGUUGCUUUUACUAGAAGAGUUGUGAUUAGUUAUUUUUGUGUUCUUUGGGCCUUAGGCCUCUUCAACAUUAAAAAAAAAUGUUGUGCAUAUAUGCAGUUUUCUGCCGGAAAGAUAGAGAGUAUGUCUCAAAAAUUGGCUUUAAUAGAGGAUAUCCUGAGCAAGAAUAUCAAAAUUUUUCUUCAGCUUGCCCAUGGAUGAGUGUAGUUCUAGUUAGCAGCAGUGGAUGAGAUUGGCAGACUGCAACCAAAUGGCGGGAUAAUCUGUAGCAACUGUUGCAGUUUCUCGUUUUACUCAAAUUUGGAUGAUCAAGUUACCACACAUUUAAUUCUUGCAACUAAACAAGAUUUGCUUUUUAUUGUUGACAUUUCUGAUAUAUUUAUUGGUGAGUUAGAUACAAAGUAUGGGAACUUGGUCCAAAGCAACAGCAGAAAAAGACAAGAAAGUGAGAGGUGCUAAAAUUGUUGGAGUCCUACAUGGGGAUGAAGCUGCCAUUAUACUGCAAACUACUUUUGGCUUCUAUCAUUAAUGCCUUAGUUCAAAAGCCCUUUAAUGAUGUGUUGCAUAUGGUUAGGCCACAUAGGAUAGAUUUCAAUAUUAUUGUAGAUUACUGUGGUUGGCAGUCAUUUUCACUAUUGGCCUCUGAAUUUGUUAAACAGGUUAACAAUCUGGGUUACAUAACUGAGUUUGUUUAUUCUGUAAAGAAUGAAAACAUUAUAGAGAAACUCUACAAAAUCAUAUUUCUGUUCUGAUGGCUAUAAGGAAAGCACUUCAGGAUCACUUAACAGAAUAAAAGUCAUCCAUGAAAUGGAAUUGUCUCAUGCUGAUGAUCAGAGGAGAAUGUCUUACCCUUCUGCUGAACAAGCCUUGAAGCAUCUUUUGUGGUUGGCUGAUCCUGACACAGUCUAUGAAUCUGCGUUGGGUCUGUAUGAUUUAAAUCUUGCAGCCAUUGUGGCAUUGAAUGCUGCAAAGAAGAUGCCCUUCCUUGAGGCAUGGGGAGAUUAUCUUGGUGACAAAUAGUGCUUUGAAGAUGCUGCAACAAUUUAUUUGUCAUGUUCUGCCUGGAUAAGGCUCUGAAGUCUUACCGUGCUAUUAAUAACUGGAGUGGGUUGCUUACAAUUGCUGGGUUCCUUAAUCUUGGAAAAGAUGAGGUCCUGCAUCUUGCUAGUGAGCUUUGUUAAACAGCUAGGAAGCUACAACAUGUGGCGGAGAACUUUCAACUUUCUCAAAUGGCAGCUGUUAGAUUAGAUGAAGAAACAAUGUCUAAUGAUACCAUAAAUGAGCAGACACAUACUUUGGAGCAAUACAGUCGAAAAGUGCGGAGCCAUAUGCACGAUUUGGAGGCUUUCUCCUGGCGACAUAAAAGUUUUUAUAUCCUGCGAGUGAGGGUAGCAAAGUCACAUAAGAUAUGUAUCUUCAUACAGUUUUUGUGAUGUUAGCUUCCAGAAUAUGAAUUUCUAAAUUGUAAGAUUUCAUUUUUCUAUAACAUUUUAAUCUACAGCCAAACAUGAUAAUCUCAACUCCUCUGAGGAAGCAGAUUGCAGUUUAUGCCACUCUCUGGUGACCAGCUCGUUGAGAUGCAUAGAUCUUGCAGCAGGACAGAAAAUAACAUCUAGGCAGAGGUGGACACCAACACCAUCGAUGCUUCAAAUUCUUGAGCGUAUAUUUGAUCAAGGCAAUGGAACACCAAGCAAGGAAAAUAAAGAGAUAACUGCUGAAACUUAGCCACCAUGGCCACAUUUCUGAAACAAAUGUAUUAUUUUGUGCCACCUACUAAGUCAGAAGUAGACGCUGAAGUUGAUUCUAAGGAUAAGAAUACAAAGCCAGAGGAGUUAAUUGGUUCGCAACAACAACUUAGUACUGUUAGGAUGACUACUACUAAUCGGUCAGAAAAGUUGUGCUUUCAUAAGCUUGAGUUUCAGAAAGGCGAGAAAAGGUCGGUUUGUUUCUUGCAGACUAAAU